UCUAAGCAGAGCCCUUGAAUGGUAAAGCCGCGAAUGGCUCAUUACAACAGCCACAGUUUAUUGGGUCUCCAUUUACUUGGAUAACUGAGCUAAUUGUUGAGCUAAUACACGCACCAAAGCUUCGACCUCACGGGAGGAGCGCAUUUAUUAGAACAAAACCAAUCGGACUUCGGUCCGUCCAUUGGUGAAUCUAAAUAACUUAGCCGAUCGCAUGGUCUCGCACCGGCGACUCACCUUUCAAAUGUCUGCCUUAUCACCUUUCGAUGGUAGUUUAUACGCCUACCAUGGGUUUUACGGGUAACGGAGAAUAAGGGUUCGACUCCGGAGAGGGAGCCUGAGAAACGGCUACCACAUCCAAGGAAGGCAGCAGGCACGCAAAUUACCCACUCCCGGCACGGGGAGGUAGUGACGA
rnacentral:rRNA from 1 species